rnacentral:rRNA from 1 species
UACGUAGGGGGCAAGCGUUGUCCGGAAUCAUUGGGCGUAAAGCGCGCGUAGGCGGCCCGGUAAGUCCGCUGUGAAAGUCAAAGGCUCAACCUUUGAAUGCCGGUGGAUACUGUCGGGCUAGAGUCCGGAAGAGGCGAGUGGAAUUCCUGGUGUAGCGGUGGAAUGCGCAGAUAUCGGGAAGAACACCCGUGGCGAAGGCGGUUCUCUGGGACGGUACUGACGCUGAGACGCGAAAGCGUGGGGAGCGAACAGG